UAUAAAAUAUUGUAAGUAGCAUAAAGAAUUUUGAUUUCUUCAGUAGUAGUUAAUUCUACUUUUUAUAA
rnacentral:tRNA from 1 species